rnacentral:rRNA from 1 species
UUGAAGGUUGGGUAACACUAACUGGAGGACCGAACCGACUAAUGUUGAAAAAUUAGCGGAUGACCUGUGGCUGGGGGUGAAAGGCCAAUCAAACCGGGAGAUAGCUGGUUCUCCCCGAAAGCUAUUUAGGUAGCGCCUCGUGAAUUCAUCUCCGGGGGUAGAGCACUGUUUCGGCUAGGGGGCCAUCCCGGCUUACCAACCCGAUGCAAACUGCGAAUACCGGAGAAUGUUAUCACGGGAGACACACGGCGGGUGCUAACGUCCGUCGUGAAGAGGGAAACAACCCAGACCGCCAGCUAAGGUCCCAAAGUCAUGGUUAAGUGGGAAACGAUGUGGGAAGGCCCAGACAGCCAGGAUGUUGGCUUAGAAGCAGCCAUCAUUUAAAGAAAGCGUAAUAGCUCACUGGUCGAGUCGGCCUGCGCGGAAGAUGUAACGGGGCUAAACCAUGCACCGAAGCUGCGGCAGCGACACUGUGUGUUGUUGGGUAGGGGAGCGUUCUGUAAGCCUGUGAAGGUGUGUCGUGA